GUCACAAAUAUAUUUCAAAUACAUCUCAAUUCAAUCUUAAUUUAAUCCUAGUUAAAAUCCUAUUGGACUUCAUUCAAAAUUUAGGCCAAAAACUAACUAAAUCUUAAAUUCUAAACAAACUCAAAUAAAAUCCUAAAUCCUAAAUAAAAUCCUAAUUAAAUCCUAAAUAAAAUCCUAAUCAAAUCUUAAAUCCUAAAUCAAACUCUAACUAAAUUCUAAAUCCUAAAUCAAAUCCUAAUCAAAUCCUAAAUCAAAUCCUAA
rnacentral:lncRNA from 1 species